UCUUAACCACUGAGCCAUCUCUCCAUCCCCUUCUAUGACCCCUUUCUACUUCUCAGGCUGUGGUUCUUGAUCCUUGCAGUGUUGCAGUGGGAGGAAGCAGGUAGAUUUCCACUGGCUUGUUCUUGGCAUGGGGAUCUGGCAUUGAUGUUUCCUUUGCUUGGCAGGUAUUUACUGCUGACACUUCUGUGGGUGCUUUAUGUUCUCUCAUUGCUGGGACCUCUCAGUUGAGGCGAACAUCAUUGUUGGGUUCAUUUCUUAUUUCUUCAUCCCUAGGAUUCUGGCCAUCUCUUUAAUUCUGUUGGCUGAAGUUGUUGUCCCUCCAAGCUUCUCUCUCGGGGGCUGCCACGUUGAUGCCAUGAACUGGGCCAGGACUGAUGGAAAGCAGUGGAAUUGAAAGGCCUUGUGAGAUCCCCCCAUCUGCUCUGCUUCAUCUCUUUGGGGUCUAUGGGAAAGAAGCUGGCUUCCCAGAGUGCUUCAUCUAGAUUUCUCCCUGGGGGAGCAAUGUUGGAGCCUAUAUCCUUCCCACUCUAAGCUCUCUGACACCAUAGAAGGCUCAGGUCUGGAAAUGACCAUUCUCAAUGGCCAGCUCCUGAAUUUCAUCCGUGUCAAAUCCCAGAGUUUGAGGUCCCAAAGGACGUGACUGAGUUUUCUGUUUUGACCUGAGGAGGUGUUAGAGUCCUGGAAAACGGCAACUGUGGGCAUGAGGAAAGCUGUGGCUAUGCAAGAAUGAGAGAAAAAGACUAAGAAAUACUGCAAAGUGGGCUGGAGAGAUGGCUCAGAGGUUAAGAGCACUGGCUACUCUUCCAGAGGUCUUGAGUUCAAUUCCCAGC